rnacentral:rRNA from 1 species
GACGAACGCUGGCGGCGUGCCUAAUACAUGCAAGUCGAGCGGACAGAUGGGAGCUUGCUCCCUGAAGUCAGCGGCGGACGGGUGAGUAACACGUGGGCAACCUGCCUGUAAGACUGGGAUAACUUCGGGAAACCGGAGCUAAUACCGGAUACGUUCUUUUCUCGCAUGAGAGAAGAUGGAAAGAUGGUUUCGGCUAUCACUUACAGAUGGGCCCGCGGCGCAUUAGCUAGUUGGUGAGGUAAUGGCUCACCAAGGCAACGAUGCGUAGCCGACCGGAGAGUGCGCUCGGCCCAACGGGGAGUGAGACACGGCCCGGACUCCUACGGGAGGCAGCAGUAGGGAAUCUUCCGCAAUGGACGAAAGUCUGACGGAGCAACGCCGCGUGAACGAUGAAGGCCUUCGGGUCGUAAAGUUCUGUUGUUCGGGAAGAACAAGUACCAGAGUAACUGCUGGUACCUUGACGGUACCUAACCAGAAAGCCACGGCUAACUACGUGCCAGCAGCCGCCGUAACAC